AGAGUUUGAUCAUGGCUCAGGAUGAACGCUAGCGGCAGGCUUAAUACAUGCAAGUCGAACGGGAUUCGAGGUAGCAAUACUUUGAUGAGAGUGGCGCACGGGUGCGUAACGCGUAUGCAACCUACCUUUAACUGGGAGAUAGCCCCGAGAAAUCGGGAUUAAUACCCCAUAACAUUACGAAUUGGCAUCAAUUUGUGAUUAAAGCUCCGGCGGUUAGAGAUGGGCAUGCGUGACAUUAGCUGGUUGGUGAGGUAACGGCUCACCAAGGCAACGAUGUCUAGGGGUCCUGAGAGGGUUAUCCCCCACACUGGUACUGAGACACGGACCAGACUCCUACGGGAGGCAGCAGUAAGGAAUAUUGGUCAAUGGGCGCAAGCCUGAACCAGCCAUGCCGCGUGCAGGAAGACGGCCCUAUGGGUUGUAAACUGCUUUUAUCAGGGAAUAAACCCCCGCUCGUGAGCGGGGCUGAAGGUACCUGAGGAAUAAGCAUCGGCUAACUCCGUGCCAGCAGCCGCGGUAAUACGGAGGAUGCAAGCGUUAUCCGGAUUCAUUGGGUUUAAAGGGUGCGCAGGCGGAUUGGUAAGUCAGGGGUGAAAUCCCACAGCUCAACUGUGGAACUGCCUUUGAUACUGUCAGUCUAGAGUAUAGUUGAAGUUGGCGGAAUGUGUCAUGUAGCGGUGAAAUACUUAGAUAUGACACAGAACACCGAUCGCGAAGGCAGCUAGCUAAGCUAUAACUGACGCUCAUGCACGAAAGCGUGGGGAUCAAACAGGAUUAGAUACCCUGGUAGUCCACGCUGUAAACGAUGAUUACUCGAUGUUGGCGAUACACAGUCAGCGUCUGAGCGAAAGCAAUAAGUAAUCCACCUGGGGAGUACGAUCGCAAGAUUGAAACUCAAAUGAAUUGACGG
rnacentral:rRNA from 1 species